GGGGGGGGGGGGCUGCGGAGUGAAGCAGGAGAUGUAACCAGGGUGAAUAGCCAGGAUCAUGGCCAGAAGAACCAGCCUGUGACUUGUGAUUGCGGGAGAUGGUCACACUUCAAGUGUGCGGUGUCCAGAGGGGACGGGAAUGGGGAGAGAGACUGUAGGGUCUAGACGGACAGAACAGGACCAAACUGGGUGUGGACAGGAGUUGAGGAGAGAAGGUCAGAAGCUCUCCUUCACAAGUGGAAAGCUCUCCUUCUGGAUGGUGGUUGGGGCACCAGAUAGGGUGCUGUGGUUUCAGGACACAGGAGCUGAAAAGGAGCUGGAGAAGACGGGCAAGAGGGGUGUGUGUGUGUGUGUGUGUGUGUGUGUGUGUGUGCGCGCGCGCUUGCGAGCCCGCGUGCGUGUGCACAUGCCCAUGUGUGCACACACGCACUUACUGCUUCUUUGGAACAACUUUCUAUUCCAUGCUAUUUUAUCAUAUUCUAUGCUGUGCUUUCCCAUUCCAUUCCAUUAGUCCUGUCUAUUACAAUUGCAAAAUACUGAUAGCAUUGCAUGGCAAAUUAACUAAUCUCACAGGCUAAGAUUUUAAAAAACUAGAGCAUGUAACAAACUCUCAUCCUUCCCUUCCUCGCUUUCCCCAGCCUUAGGGCAGAAGGUGCCUUUGUCCUGACCAUGGAUCGCUCAGGGGUCUCUCCUCAGUUAGAAGCCAGAACUCCCUUUAGACCUAACCACAGCCUUCAUUUACCUCUCUGCAAGCCCUGUCCUACCAGCCAGGAUGUCCCUCCUUCCUUUGGUCCCUUUCAGGACAGCAGAAAGAAAAGAAAUGACAUCUGAACGUCUGUGUUAAAGCAUGAAUUCCUUGAGACCAUUUUCCAAUCAGAAGGGAUGCGAGGCAACACCGCCGCCCCCAACCUCAGCCAUCCCAGCUCUGAGUCCGGAUUACAGCAACCCAAGAUCUUUUGCAGAAACAGACAUUUUAAAAACGUGUCGGUGCAUAAAAUGUUUUCUGUUGAAUUUAUCACAAACGCCACAUCAGGACUUCAGAUAACUACAGAAAUAAAAAGGCGACAAUGGGAAGAUUCCAGCGGGAUUUAUUUUUAUUUAUAAUUUAUACCCCGUCAGCUCCUCAGAAGGAUUUGAGGCAGCAUCCGACAAAAGACGUGCGUACAACAAGGUUGCUAAAAAUGGGAAUCGAAAAUUGAAAACCUCAAGUGGAAGGAGGAGGAAGAGAAGAUGAUACAAUUACUGAGCUGAAGUGUAGCAAGCUUUCUAGUAGCCACGGCAAGGAUGGAAACACGAGCCUGGGUGUUCAUGGAGGAGGUUGAAGACCGAAGGAGGUGGAGAAAGUCUAGGUGAGCCAGAAGACAGGCCUGGAGGGAAGUGUGGCAUCAUCUUGGGUGACUGCAAAAUAAAACAAAAAGGGAAAUGGAGACGAGAGACGGGCAGUCCUGGGCUGAGUGCUGCCCCUCAUCAGGACCAGCAGUGCUCGCGCCCAACCGGAAGUGCCUUGUGUUUAGCAGGGGUUCACCUGAAGUUACCAAGCAGUUUCAGGAAUGUUUUCUGGGGCCGACCAAAUACGUGCAGGCACUCAGCUACACACAUUCUGCCGCUGCACUUACCUCCAGCAUUGAUCACCGUCUUAUGACUGGGGGCACCUUGUUUUGGGGGAAGACACCUGCCUUCUGCUCUGCCCUGUCACUGACCACCACUGGAUACGAACACUGACCGGAGCGCGGUGAUGUAGUUCUUGGCCCAGUGAACAGCUACCAUGAGAGGGUGACUUUGAAGUUUGGAACCCUAGAGAAUAGUCAUUGUACCCGGUCAGGAUGGCUCUGGGCCCGUUAAGACCCUCAGCCUGUUGUGUAUUUGAGAGAGUCGUUUUUAAUUUUAGUUCUUAAAGCCCAGGCAC